UCUAUUAAUUUAUGUGGUCAAAGCAUUAUACAGUUAUCAAUUUAUUACGCAGUAAGACAAGAUUUCAAUGAGACAGAAUUUUGGUGUGUUGCUAAACUCAAUGCAUGCAAAUGCUGCUUUAUCUGUGAAUAUAGUGUGAGUUAGUGAUAGCAUCAUGAAUGUUGCUUUGGACUUGUUUCUGCUGCAGUUUAGCUGGGCAAAUCACUUAACCUAUGGACCUCAUGUUUAGCACUACAAAAACGCUCAUCACAUCCCCUUCAGAUUGCUUUCUGCAGUCCUUAGGUGAAAGCUGCUGAAGUGCAAGGCCAUUAAAUCCUUUUGUCCUAAUUCUGUUUUAAGUGGAGGCUUGUUCCUUAGUUUCUAGGUAGAGGUUAAUUGAGAAUUUGCUCCAAAAAUAUUAGCCAUUAAUAACCUCCUGACUGCAGUCAGUCUUUUAUUUACUGACUGAAACAGCACUUCAUUGCCCUGGAGGCCUGGGACGGGUUGUCCUGCCCAGACUUCUAGGGUGAGAUGAAGUUCCAGCUAAAUAUCUGAAUGCAAGCCAGCUACUAAGCCCCUAAAGCAGUCAAUGCUGAUGUGCAGACAAUGUACACGACCGGUCUGGAGCAUCCCAGUCUUAAAAGUGCUACAGAAAGGCUUAGCCUGUUCCUGUGCUUUCUUUUGUGAUUUUGCUGUUAUGGCCAUGAGGGACCUUCAGGUACACAGGGUACGACAACAUUUCUGCCCCAGAGCACACCAACUCCAGCCGUUUGCCUAGAAGAGCAAUUUGUGCACUUUUAGCACUAUCUGGUCUUAAAGGGAGAGUUCAGAGCCUGAACAACGAUAAAUAAACCCAAUAAACCACAUUCACACCAUUGUACAGUCCACACAGGAUUCUGCAACACUAAAGGCUUUGUUUUGGGGAAGGGGCAGUGUUUAUCUGAUGUGAAAAAAAUCUUAUCUUAUUCCCAAAUAAAGUAAUAUUUAACACUUUCACUGAGUGCAAUGAGGCAGGUGAAAGCUUUGAGAAACGACUCAUCGCACUGCUUACCAGGAACAUUGCGAAAACUCCUAUUUACUUAAUUGAUCAAGUGAAAAAUUACUUUUUAGUCCUUCACGUUGCUACUGGGUGGGAAAACAGUAAAUGCUGAAUUACCAGGCUAUGAAUAUGCGAUUUUAAAUGAAUUGCAGCAAAUGAUGUAUGUUGCGGCAUUUUUAUGGCUGGGCUUCAAGUUGAUCUAUGCAGGGAUGGUAAAUUAGGCUUCUGCACCUUCAGAGAUGUCACUGGGACCAUAACUCCUCUUUGGUGAAGAACAUACAGUUCUAGGCUUAAAGGGUGCUUUCUUCCCACCACCCAAUACGCCACCCCCACCCCCCCCCUUAAGCUGUGUCAGCAUUCGCCAGGCUUGGAAACAAAUCCUCUUCAGACCAGUGAAGACAGUCACAUCCCAUUUGUGUUCCUGUCCUGUGUUGUUAAGGGCCUUUGUGCCUAAACAAGUGCAUUUUCGUGGCUAAUCCACUGCUGACAUUCAUCUUUUCAGAACUCCAUGCUCUCAUUUCUGCUGUCUUGUGCGCUGAAAAUAUUCACCAGCUUCACUGGUAAAGCACGGCUUGAAUCACACGUAUUUCUUGUCAUAUACUUUACUGUGUACCUUACCUGAAUAUUGUUAUAUGAACUAUUGAUUGAUUAUCUUUUAAUAUUAUCUUCUCUCGCUGAUAGAUUAACAGCACACAAAAAAAGUACAUCUCCAAGGUAUCAGGCAUCCCAUUAAUAAUAGAGCUGGGCUUUUGUACACUUUCAUACAUGAAUAUUUAUUAUAAGCUUGUUGUUGAUUACAUCUUGAAGCUAAGUAUCUCAGAAUGCACUGUGUUCUCAUGAAAGAUGCUGGGUCAGUCACUGUGGCAAAUGGAGUCCAAACCAGUGUGCUCCUCGGCUGUCUGCUUAAGGGUGUUAAAAAGAUAACUAAAUUCAGUCUGCCAGGCUAGAUCAUCUUGAACCUCUCUGCUGAGGUCCCUAAGGGUCUGGCCGGCAGCACUUCUCCGUCUAGUGCACAGAGCUAUUAAGGCAAGCACAAAACUACCCAGUUCUACCUAUUUUGUAUAAUAGUCUACAAAUACCUGUCUCGGUUUGUACAAAUACUGAAGGCUGUAGCUGGCUGUGGAAACAAUUCUUAAUUGAAUCAAUGAGGUAAAUUAUUUAAAAAAAAGUGUGAUGCUCUUCCACCUUGCGGUAUGUGUAUGCCGUUGAGUAGCACUAUUCCUUUUAGUCAAUUUUUACUUUCCCACUGUGAUUUUUAAUCUUUACAGCCCCUCCUAACUGACAACCUAGGACUCAGUUUAAAAAAAGAAAAAAUGUGGAGUAAAAGGAUCAACUAUCCAACUAGUUUAUCUUUCACCAGCCCAGGAACAAAAACUUUGAAAGAUUUAAAAAAAAAAAACAGUCAAUAGCCUACACUGGUGUCACAGGCAGGCAUUGCACUUCCCAUAGUUUCUCUUCUGAGAGCUCUGCCCUCCGUCCUGUUUGAUGUGUCAAUGCUGACAGCCCUUAGCUGUAAGUUUUCAUUCUAUGGUAAAUCUACCCUUUCCUCCUCACAAACACAAGUCAUGAGCAGAUACAGGCAGAAGUGUUUACUCUGUGUUUCAGGGACUCUAAGGUCGAUUCCUACCCUCCCACCCUCUCCAUCUAUCCCAUCAGCUCUGCACGUGGGGAUUUUCACUGCAGUCGGAGUUAUUCCAGCAGAGGAAUGCUGGACAAAUGAAGUGAAAUGUCAGAAGAAAAAUAUAAUUUGAAUCAUUAGUUGAACUUCUACUGCUCUGUGCUACCAACCUCUCUGGCAUCUAGUGCCAGGUACACUGGAUUGGUGGUGUCUUUUAUGUUAACCCUUAUCACCGUGCUGCACAAAGCUAGAUCUGAUCUGAGGUGGAUUCCUCGUUGACAAAAAUCCUGGGAAGCUGCUUUUAGUAAACCAAGAAAAUUCUUCCAACCCCACAUUAUCUGGAAAUCCCCCGCGAGUCUGACAGAAGUCCCUAACUCAUCUGGUUUCUGCAGAACAGAGCGUUGCCAGAUGACGACUCACGCUUCACUGACGAUGUUCUGUCAUCUAUCGGUGCUAACUAUGGAUCAGUGUCUGUCUCUACAGCCUUUUUAAUAGGUACUUUAUUAUUUUGACACAUUUCCUUCCCUCUUGUUAAUCUAGGGAUUAGCAGUGACAUGUCUAAAUUCACGCUUAACUGUGUUAACAUUAUCCCUCUUGUAUUGAAUUUACUGCGAUCUCACGGUGCUAGCUGCCUAGCAGAAGACCAGCACAUCUUCUUGCUUAAAUAUUCCCACCGAGACCUCUGAGGUUGUCUUUGUGGACUCUAAAGCUUUACCUGACAGGUUGGCUACAAUAUAGAGCACAAAAGAAGACUGAUUCUUAAAAAAAAAUGUGAGUGGAGUUCCCAUAGCAGGAGUAAAGAAUAAAAGAGUAAAGAGUAGAACUAUAAACUAAGGGGAAGACAGUAACAGAAAAGUGUCUGCACAAUCAUACAGCACAUGGGGAGAGCCGUGUAUCCAUCUGCCAGUCCUAGCCAGGAUUUGCAAACUCUGAUCGGAUGCUUUGCUGAUGUCCAUCCCUGUUUUUUCUUCACCAUGGAUAGAUGCCUACUGUCCAGGAUCCGCAUCAGAUGGACAAGUAGCAUCUGUGACCUUCUCUGCCUUCCUUGUGGAUUCCCAGGAAGGACAGAAUACCCUUUCCCACUAACCUUUCUGGCACAUGAGCGCAGUCCCUAGCACAUGGACCCAUGCUUUCUGUUUUUCCUGUUUGCAGCCACCUGUACCUCUGACUCUGUGUUCCUCUUUCUGCUUUUUCCCCUCAGUCCUCUCUCUUCCUCCUGUUUUAAUUCUAGUUCCAUAUCUUUUGUCAGCCCUACAUCUCCUCCUUCUUCCAUGUAUCUAUUUUUUUACUUUGAUAAGGAGAAGAGACUGUAUGUUUUUCAUAGCACUUCCAGUGACAAUAGAGGAAUAUUUAUAAUUUAAUGGACUUGGAUUUGGUAAGGGUUAAACUUUGAGAAAAGACUCAGAAGAGAUAAAAGAGCUUAAGGCAGGGCAUUUGUUUGCAGGCUGUGAUGAUUCUGCUCAAAAUUCAUAAGGAUUCUUGGCUCUGUUCUAGGAUAUUUCUGAUAGAACAGGGCAAAAGCUUCAGACUCUGCUCUUUCUGGUGAGACUGGAGAAUGGCAGCAGAAAUGAAUAGCUGUAAUAAAACUGACUUUGUAAAUUGGACCUGAGAAAAUUCCCUGGAAUUUCUAACAGCUUCAGAAAGAAACAUACAAAGUUGAAAAUCCAGGCAACUUUUGUUGGCAUCCAGCUGAAUUUGGGUGGAAAAAGAUUAAGGGAAUGGAGAAACUGCCUGAAGAGAAAAGGCUAAAGGGGCUGGGACUCUUCAGUUUGGAGAUGUUAGGCUCCUCAAGGAUAUAGAAUCAGGAAAGCGGUGGAGAAAGUGAAUGCAGACUGCUUUUGUGCCGGGUCCUGCAGCUUUAGAGCUAGAAGCCAUUCAUACAAAAUAGGACAUCAGUUUACAACUGAUAAAAGAGUUCACAUAGCAAGUAGCAAAUUUCUGGAUUUUUUUUCCACAGGAAGUAGUAGGAGCUCAUACCAUGAGGCUACAAGAAGGAUUAGACAUGUUAACAUAGAAGGCAGCAGGCUAGUCCCUCUUUGAGUGGGAUGUUGGAUUCAGUGGUCUCAGGAAGUCCUUAUCAACCUGUCUUCCUGUGAUUCUGUAACAUUGACAGAUGCUAAUGGGGACAGGCAGAAACAUAUCCUCUCAUGUCCCGUAUCCAGCUGUUGUGGCUGCUGGGGACACACAAGGAGAGCAGCCUGCAAAAACAGUAGUCAGAUCCUACUUGAAAAACAUUUCCUAGUUUCUCUGUCAAAGACACAAACCUGUCAUAGAUUGUCUGGCCCUGUGGCCCAUUUCUUAUGUUCUUCACUACUGGGUGCUAUAUCGAGGAUUUGGAUAGCCAUAAACUGACUGUUCUUCUGUGCUUGGUUUUAGUCUGACCAUGGUCCUUAACCUCUUUGCUAGUCCAUGAUCCUGAAGUGCUCAUAAGUGUCCUCAGGAAGAACAACAGGUGAAUUUAUUCCCCUAGGUUUCUGAGCGAGGGCUAAAUCAACUUACUUAUUUCAUUGAAGGAACUCUAUGCAUUGAACGAAUAUAUUUGGGCUACCUUUAAACAGAUGAAUCUACACAUAGAUGACCUUUGGCUUCACCUUUCUUUCAUCUAGUUUCAGGUCUCUCAUUCCACGUGUCUCAUUUUCAUUACACCUGCUCAACUGUUGCUCUUCUGCCAUUUCUUUCUAAGUCUGCCCCUUGUUUUCAGAUUCCCCUGUCCCAUCCACAGCUGCAUUUCCCCCGUGCUGCUCACAAGCCCCUUUGCUCACCUCCUGCCUGGAUGGCAGCCAGCCCAGCUGCCCCGUGCUUUGGCAGCAAUUGCUUCCUGGUGCCCAUCUCUGAGGAUGGGCUCGCUAGGCAGUCACUGGAUACAGCCUGCUGACACCAGGAGGCUAUCGCGUCAGCUCCCAGAGUCAGAUUGCUUUGUCACCAGCUGCUCCAAAUUUCCCUGGACUUCUCACUCCAGGCUCCCCUCCGCUCCUGGCCACACACGCACACUCACUCCUCUGUGGGUUAGCUCAGCAGGGAGCCCAAGCCUGAGAAAGGCACCUCUCCCGUUUGCCUAGCCUGGGUUGGGAUGACUCAUGUGCCCUUGCUUCCGAUUCUCUGUUAAAUGGGACAAGGAUGCGAGGAGUCCAGGCUACCCUGUUUUCCAAUGUGCUCUGCUCUGGUUAGAACACCCCUAGAUGUGGAACAGCUCUCCUGACUUAAUGAGAGUAACGUUUUCUCAUUAUUGCUAUUCCUUGUAGAUCAAAAAUUAAGGGCAGUGGAGCCCUUAUGCAGGACAUUACAGGUGCCUCACUCACUGAUACAAUAGAUCCUAGUUUUCAAGUAAUUAGAUUCUUUUUUUUUUUUUUUCUCCUAAGUGACUAUAAAUAUUUCCUAGUCUCCAUAAUUACUCUGUCAGUAGCUGGAAAGUCCAGGCAACCUUUGAAAAGCUAAUUCACCAGCAAGAUGCUACUUAAGUACAGGCUUUUCUCCCCCACACACCUUGUUUCACAGUAGGUCUACAACAGCUUGAGUUGAGUAUCGGAAAGGAAGCUCUACUUCUUGCAAAAGAUGUAUCUUCACAGACCUAAAGUAGUUUCCCAAAAAAUCAUGGAGAAAACUUGAAAUGGGGUGGAAUAUAGUAACAUCAAGGUGAGCACCACGGUUUUCUUCACCACCCAGGUCAUUCACCUUGCUCCUUUUCAGGACACCUGAUAGCCUGCCACCGUUGGCAGACACUUGCUUUACCUAAAGUCCCUCUAAUAAAUACUUCGUACAGACAUUCCCGGAGGCAGCUGGCUGAGCAGAGCACAGAAAAGAAGGAAUAUUUUACCUGUCUUGUGUAUUUGUGGAAGCCUUUCGCAGGUGACAGAGCUGGCUAGUGACAUGCAAGGGACACCUGUCAACAUCUUCAGCUGAUGCCCCAGGGAGCCCCCACACCCCCUUAAGGUAAAAGGCAGGGAAAAAAACUCACCACGCUUCUUAGCUCUAGACUUUUGAUCUCCUGCUUCUUGCCUCCUCUCUACUUCUGUGACUAUCAUUAACUAUAAGCUGUAGCAUCCUAACAGGCUUUUGUAUUUUAAUGGAGGAGGGGGAAUCAGGAAAAUCCUGCCUGUGUUCUGCAUUAUUUGUCAUGGUAAUAAAUGUUUCCCCUAUUAAGGCUGAAGAGCCUCAAUGGGACACACCUGUGUCCCUCUUACUAGCUGUGAGCUGUGCUAAUCGAGUGAGUGAUGCGGCCAUUGAAAGACAAUGGAAAAGAAUGAAAUGAAGAUGGAUGAAUUCAAAUGCACCUCUCCAGUGAGCAUGCUGCAGUGACACUUCCAGAAAAACAUCUUUCAUCGGAGGAAUCACAGCCCUGGUGUGGCUGAAGCAAGGAGGCUGCUUAGCCAUCCUCUCUUCCAGAAGACCUUCAGCACUGGCAUCGCUAUAUCUCCUUCACUGUGCUCUUCGUUUACCUUCCUCUGCAAAAUGAGGUACAAAAUCUGCAAGUGCAGUUCAUUUGCCAGCGGAGAGAGAAAAUUCCAAGCCAAAUUUAUUGCUUGUUCCACCAAAACUUAGAUGAAGGAUGUUUUGGUCCUGUUUGCAUGCUGCCUGAAGAUACUGUCAUAAACACAAAUCUUGAUGUAUAAACUCCUAAACACUUGGUAGUGUGGAAGUGGUAUACAAAUCCCAUGCGGGGUCUCAAGAAAGGGGCAAAUUUCAACCAGUCAGAUUCAUGGCCCAGCAGGCUGUGGAGAAUCUUGACAGUUCCUAUGUUAUGUACCUCUCUCCCCCAAUCAUUUUAUUACCCUGAACAUCUGUGGAAAUGUGGAGGUGCAGGGAGCCUCGAGGCUGCUCAGCAUGUUUGACUCCAUUUUCUCCUUAAAUGUGUGCAAAUGCUACUUCUAUUUGCACCUUUGCCGAGCUGUGAUUUGCGACACCAAGGCCUAAAUGACACCUAAGAUCCCUCCAGAGCAUUAAACAAACAAGCCAGUAGGACAUCUCACAGUCUGGGAAGUGCUAAAUUGAAAGCAAUAGCACAUACCGCACUGCUUUGAAAAUGAACCCGUUGAAUUUCUUUGCUAUGGUACAAACCUGAGAGGUCUUUUCUCGUGGCUUUUUCUGCAUGGAUCCAGGCUCCACACCUUCCCCAGAAAACUAAACCAGGAUUCAGAUUCAAGGCUUAUAAUGUAGAAAAUCCUGUGUUUCUCAUCUCAUUUUGGUUUUAAUUGGAUUUAUAUGAAGCCAGAAUGGAAAGGAAAAGGACAGCCAGGAGACUAUCCACAACAAUAGUUUGACAGAGCAGGUGCUGAAUGUUUUAUGCACUGUCAGUGAGCUUCUGAUCUGGUACUUGCAGUAGGCACAAACCUCACAAAAUUAGUCAGAGGCAAGUUAGCAGCAAGUUAAAAGACUGCAACUAGGACUAUACAAGGUGGUUUGGGCUUAAGGAUUAAUAUUGGUUGAAGGACUGUGUUAAAAUAACUGGCUAUAAGGAGAAUACCUUUUAGUGUUAUCUCCUGUUUGCAAGUUCUUCAAUUCCUUCUCAACAGCCCUCUCCUCUUCCUUUUAAAUGCCGUUUUGCAAAGAACAGCCCUACCCCACGUGAUUGCCAAUAGGAGUGUAGUAAGUUUCACAGCCACAGGACAGCAAAAUACAUAGCACCUCUCUUCAAAACAUCCUCUAAAAAUGCCUGCUUUUUCUGGCCAGCCAUCUCAUUGCAAACAAAACUGCUGUGAUCAGAACUUUCUGGAAUGUAAUGUAUUUGUUUCUGUGAUAUACCACACAUUUCAGUAAAAAGGCCACAAUUAUUAAAAUAAAGUCUAUAAGUCUGUCCUCCA